rnacentral:tRNA from 1 species
GCGGGUGUCGUAUAAUGGUUAUUACCUGAGCUUCCCAUGCUCAUGAUGACGGUUCGAUUCCGUUCACCCGCUCCA